UACGUAGGGUGCAAGCGUUGUCCGGAAUUAUUGGGCGUAAAGGGCUCGUAGGCGGUCCAUCGCGUCGGGAGUGAAAAGCUGGGGCUUAACCCCCAGUCCUGCUUCCGAUACGGGGUGGACUAGGGGGUAGGCAGGGGGAGAACGGAAUUCCCUGGUGUAGCGGUGAAAUGCGCAGAUAUCAGGAGGAACACCGGUGGCGAAGGCGGAUUCUCUGGGCCUUACC
rnacentral:rRNA from 1 species